AGCUUCAGCCUAGCUCAGUCGGUAGAGCAUGAGGCUCCUUAAAUCUCAGGAUCGUGGGUUUGAGCCCCACAUUGCAGGAGGUUG